GUCACAUUCGAUGUUUCUAAGCACCAUAACCACUAUAUGCUGUUGUAGAUGAUAUGGUGUUAUUAUUCUGUGGGCACCAAAACCUGUUCUGAGCCAAAGCGUUCUUGGUUUGUUUUGUUCAAAAGUGGACGCUUCGAAGGCAGGAAAGUCCCAGUUGCAGUUGUAAAGGCAUUGUCCACAAACUUAGGAGGACUUCCAGAAGGAAAUGGAGACAAG